rnacentral:lncRNA from 1 species
CUUUUUUUUUUUUUUUUUUGUGUCGGAUAUAUCUCUUGAGGUAAUUUGCAGCAGCAUCACUAAUGGAAUCACUUUGGAUGAUGAUUCAAGUAUUUGGAUGAAAAUGCUGUGAUUAUUGACGUGAUUUGCUCAAUCAUCUUAGGACUUUUUUCCAGUGCCUCACUACUGGCUUUUUAUUUCUUGCAUGAACUCAAUUUUGGGGCUGAAGAUCCCAGUAGGCAGUAGCAUGCCUCAAGUUUUUUGCAAGGUAUCUCCUAGCAUCAAGGAAUUGUUAAAUCUUUUCUUCAAUAACCUUUUUUUUUUUUUCUUUUCCAUAAUUUUGUUAUAGUAGUUACUUCACCUUCCUUUGUUCAUUUUAAUUCAAUUUUGUGGCUGGCUGGUCGCCAUCAGGGGGAAGGGGAUUGACACAGAUCCAAUUUCCAAACACCAAAAAAAAAAAAAAAAGGGGCGAUCCGGUUUCAAGAUUGAGGAGUGGUUGGCCCAGUCGCGUAAAUUGUAUGAUGGCAGAUGCAAGAAGAAGAGGUGGAGGGAGGGCUUUAAAUUACAGAAAAGUGAAGCAAUUGCUUAUCAAUAGUUAUACAAUGAUUGCAGAAGGAAAGGAAGACCCAAAAAAAAAAAAAAAAAAAAUCAAUUUUAGUAAGUUACGCUUGUCUUCAGGGUUGUUGGAGUUGGAGUUGGGCACAGUUUUAAAUAAUGCUGCUUGCUAAUUAACUAGUAAUCCUGAUGAAGUAUGUAAUGGCCAUAUAUAUGUAUGUAUGUAUAGUAUUUUACCUAUCAAGUAUUAGUUGAUGAAGUCAUGAAAGAUGCCAAUUAUCCAAAAUGGUUGACUAUUGCAUGCAGUACAGCUAGCCAGGCCGGUGAAAAUGAAGUACCACCAACAUUGGCUGUCAAGCAAUAUUUGGUGAACGGUAUAAAAGAUGUUUAUACAACAAGAUUAGAAAGAAAAAAGAAAGUAAUUAACAGUCAAAUUUGAGAAUCGAAUAGCACAGCCCUUUUUUUUUUUUUUUUACUUUUAGAUUAUGAAUUUUGAGGUCAGAUUUGUGUUAUAAAGCGGUGGGUGGAUUCGGUCAAGAACAACAGUCAAGAACCAUUGCAAAAAUUCAUACGCUGUUUUGAUUUUGGUAAGCAAUCAAGCAAGGUUGGUUGCUGAUUUGCAUUCAUUGUUCCAUCCUCUCUUCUUAAUUCUGAGCCUUUCUCUCAUCAAACACAUACACUAACUGGUUGCAAGAAACGGUGUGCAAUUUUGUGAUCAACUUGUACGUCUUCAAAGUCCAAAGCCGUCACCAAACCAAUCAUAUAUAUAUAUUAUAUGCAGAUAAUAACAUUCCCAAGUGGAGCAUGCUCAGACAUGUACAGAGUCAUACUUUCUGGCCAACACCUAAUUAAGAGCUUUCCAAAUAUGGACCCCUAAUAUGAGGGGAACAGACAAGGGACGCCGUGUUUCACUACGGAAGCUUUUAAGUUCCCCGUUACUACAACUAGCUACUUCCACAAUUUGGAACAUGCAAACAAAACCCUCUUGGGAGUUCGAGUACAAAGCAUGAUUAGUUGCGCUCGAUCUACUUUCUUUAUUUCGUAAGGUUGGCAUUCCUCUUUUUUUCGCAGUACCACUGACUUUUCUUGCUUUCAAUGGGAACCACGUACCUGGACAUUCUUCACAUUCUUUCCUCAAUGCUAAGCAAUAUAUGUAAUACCUGCGCCUCGCGCCUUGUGAUAUUUUUGGUGUCAUUCACUAGACAAAGCAUCCUGUGAUGGCGAUCUAACGACAAGUCGCCCAACAAAGAAUAAAUUCCAUUCAACUUCUUACACUAAAGUUUCUUUACAUUUCUGUACUCCUUUUCCAAAUUCCAAUUGUCUUUCGCUAUCAUCUUGCUGAUUCCUUUUUUUUUUUUUUUUUUAAAAAAAUUAAAGGCCUUUUUUUUUCGUGUGUUAGGUACUAGUGAUACUGCCCACAGCUCUCACAAUAAAACAUGAACUAAAACAAAGUGAUCGAAGUUCGAAUUUGAAGUAAAUUAACGGAUGCCACCGGUGCGAUCUUUGUCUUAUUAAUCACCGCCUCAAGGAAGGAUGGACGUACAAUUCUUGGUUAGAUUUUCGCUUUAAUUUUAGUGUCUACUUUGCUUUCAUCUGGGUUUGCCGCCGGGAAUGUUGCAUCGUGGUGGAUGGAAAAUUAUGAGAUAUACGCUCAACAAUUAAUCCAUAUAUGAUCGAUCAUCCAACACAUAAGUGGCGCGCAUUAAAUAUCUGUCGAAGACAAAUUAAACUAACUUGAAAGGUUCAAAAGCUGCGGCUGGUGGGAAGGUAAAGUAACAGUUGUGGGGACGAGAACAGCUUUUGAAAUAGAAUUUGUUGCAGUUUAGGCAGCAAACACGGCUUGAAUUCCUUAAAACAAGACUUAUUCUACUGCUGAUGACGUUGACUUGUCCACUCCAAUGCUAUGAUUUAGUCUUCUUCAUUGACAUUAAUCCCCACAACAAUAACAUCGUCGGUAGUCUCCAACAAAGACUGCAUGUCGUUCAAUCAUACCACCAAAAAUCCCUUGAUCAAACCCUGAAAAUCCAUUCGAACUCGGGCUAGCUACUAGAUAUUGCUUCUUCUACUCUCCCUGAUAUAAAAUGCGCUUAAUAAAUUAAUUAUGCUGUUCUCACCGAAAUUCUUUAGCAAAUUUAGCUUUGCUGCAUGGAAUCUAACGAGAUUACACUGAAUGUGCCCUUACCGAACAGCUAGCAUCAUGAUAGUUUGAUGAUGGUCGGAUUUUUGUGUAGUUGAACCUCGAGUUUUCCCUCCCUCAAUGAGUUUUUCACUUUCUUGUCCUAAAUCUUGACGUGGAAUUAAAUAGGCAAGGGUAUAGGGUUUUUUGUUUUUGUUUUUGUUUUUUUUUUGGCCCCCUCCAACGCCAUCUGAUUAAGAAAGGAAAAAUGACAAAGUGCAGCAGUAGUCUGUAGCCAUGUAAAACAGAUACUAGCUAUAUGUUAUGUGGCCACUAAUAUCAAACCAUUUUGAAAGCCAGUGAAUAGUAGAUAUAACAUAAGUGAAAUGACAAACUGGAGCGACAUGCAUUUCGACAUAUGAGCUUUUCUUAACAAUAAAUGUUCCCCUCAAAGCUGUAAUAGAACUGUUAUCCAUCACCGUUAGAGCAACUGGCCGGUGUUCUUCCUCUUUUCUUUUAGCCUGUUGUUUCUUAAAUGGAGUACAAAUCGAACGCAUACGCUAAUAUGUUUAAACAGCAUUAUGAGUCCAUAUCACAAGAUAUAUAGAUCGUCAGUUAACUUCUGAGUAGCUUCCAAGAAGGCAUGACAAAGGGUUGAGGUAAUAAAAUAAAAACAAUUUUAACUCUUACGAUUAGGGGUGUGCAAAAUCGAAAAAUUCCGAUUUACCGACCGAAUUCGAAUUGAAUUCGGAAUUUUCGAAAUCGGUAAAUCGGAAAUCGGAAUCGAAUUCGGAUUUUCCGAAUUCAUAUAUUUCGAAUUUGGUUCGAAUUCGGUAAUGGAGUUUUUCAAAUCGGAAUUCGAAUUCCGAUUUCGAUUUCAAAUUCUUUUUUAAUAUAUAAAUAUAUUUUUUAUACAUGUAAUAUAAAAUUUAUACUAUAUAAUAUUUUAUAAAAUUUAUAAAAUAUAAUAUAAUAUAAUAUAAAAUUUAUAAAAUUUAUAUAUUAUUAUAUAUUAUUAUAAAUUUUAUAUUAUAUAAUAAUAUAUAAAUUUUUCCGAAUUCGGUGAAAUCGGUGAAAUCGGAAUUUACCGAAUUCCGAAUUGAAUUCGGUACGAAUUCGAAUUCGGAAUUGGUGAAUUCGAAAUCAAAUUCGGUCGAAUUACCAGGUACCAAAAUUUCGAAAAAUUCCGAAUUCAAACUUCCGAAUUACCGAAUUCGAAUUCGAUGCACACCCCUAUUUACGAUUGAGCAUCUUUUCAUUUGAUAUCCCGGAUUUCACACUUCAUGAAAUUGCUACCUGUUACCGAAAUAAGACAAUCAGAAGGAUAAUACUAGCUAGGGAUGUAAUUGAGUCGAGCCCGAGUCAAGUUUUUGACUGAAUUGCUCGUGAGCAGUUUGAUUACAGCACUAGAUAAAACUAUUACUCCCUCCGUCCCACUUUGUUAGUCUUGUUUUCCUUUUUCGUCCGUCCCAAAUUGUAGUCCACUUUUCCAUUAAGAAAUGUAGUAAUCUUUCAAAUUGUCUAAAAUACCCUUAUUAAAUAUAUUGUUAUUAAUACAUUGUUAUUAAAUACUAACCCACUACAUUGAAUACAUUGAGUUUUUCCAAUACAUUGAAUACAUUGACUACAUUGAUUAGCAUAAGGGUAUUUUAGGAAAUUAUUAAUCUAAAUUUAUGUUUCCAACCAAAUUAAUUACACUUUCUUAAUCUGUGUGAAAAAAAAACCAAGACUAACAAAACGGGACGGAGGGAGUACAAGAUUUAUGUACAUGCUGCUACCAGAACUCAAAUUAGACAGAUUGAUGUACAAUAGUAUGUAUCAAGAGAAGGAAUACAAUUUAGCCAAAUUGCUUGUGCUGUUCCGAGCUGCAAAAAGAUUAUGCACUACGUACUAUAUUAUAUUUCCGAAGUACUUUAGUCAUAAAUUUUUGCUUGUGCUUUAGUUUCAAACAAAGUUUAAAGACCAAAUUUGGGGGAUGGGAUAGACUCAACAAAUCCGACGGUAUUGAGGGGAUAUUAAACCAUCAUCAUUUCAGAUUCCCGGGCUUUUGGUCCUGAGAUGGGAUUUAUAAAUUGGGGAUUUAUAAAUUAUAAUCCGGAGAGUAAAUGAUUGGUGUGUAUUAAAUUUAUAUGAAAUGAUGGACAAGUACAACGUUUGGUUUUAGUGCUCCCACAGACAGAAAAACAACGCAAGGAAAAGUGAAAAAGAGAGUCUACCAAUUAAACAAAACAGGACGACAACUCACUCUUUCAUUUAUUUUGUUCCAAAACUUGCACACAAUUGGACAAGAGCAAGCAGCUGCUAGAUCGUAUGGUUAGGACCCCCCCCCCCCCCUCAUCCAUCCAUCCAUCCAUCCAUCAAUGACAAAAUCUUACUAAUAAAUUUCCACUUAAAUCACUCCCAACCCCAACACAACUCCCCCCACUGUGCAAUCCAGCAGAUGGGCUCUAGCAACUACCGGCCUACUUCCUUCGUUCAUUCAUAGUAUUUUAUUCUUUGGCUGCCCAAAUUAACAUAUGAGAAAAGUUUUAUAUAUUGUAUAAAUAAAUUUGUAGAUAGAUGGUCAAUUAGUCAUGGCGUUGGAAUUGGCUGGAACCCAAAAUAAUGGAAACGCCUCUAGGAGCAAGUUCUGUGGUCAUUUAUGCAUGCCCUUUUUCUUGUUCUAUAUUUUUUUUUUCUUCCAAAAAAUGGAGCUGCAUUUGCAUAAUUCUUUUUUUCCCUUUUUAGGUCUCUUAAAAUGGAAUGGCAUCCCAUGGAAGCAGUCUAGAAAUCUGACUAGUCAAGAGAGGAGGGCAUUAAUGAUUAAUCCCAUGACCUACGGGUCAAUGACAAUAGUACAUAUAGGACAGGGAAUUAUGUCCAAUUAAUUGGAUGGAAGGAGUCAAGAAAUUCCAUUCGUCGAUGCAGAAGUGCUUUGAUCCGUUGACCUAUAGUUCAAUAAUAACAAUAAUUUUAUUCAAAAAAAAAUUAUGUCGAAUUAACUGGGAACAUAAUAGAUUUAUUGACGCCAAAUUUGUUUUAGUCGUGGUUUAAAUUUACAUUGAAAACAUUCAUUCAGGGCAUUAUUAUCUUGAUAUGUUGUUGUACAUGGUUUGUUUAUUUAAUACAAUAUGCGAACUAGUUGGAUCCGCAAUUAAUUAAGUGUUUAUUCAAUUAUCGGUCAGCAUUUCAAACGACACACGCUCGGUAGUAACUUUUUAUCACACUUCACUAUUCUUUCGGAAGCGACCGGUGUUAUGUUCCACGGAAAGCAUUCUCUCCGACCAUCCCAAUUCCCUAUUCCAAGGGUAAAAGGUAAAUAUAGUACUCCCUCCGUCCCACCUUGAUAGUUCUGUAUUUCUUUUUCAUCUGUCCCAAAUUAUAGUCCACUUUCCAAUUGACGAAUAUAGUUGUAUUUUAAUUUUUCUAAAAUACCCUUAUUCAAUGUAAGUAGUUGUUACUAUAAACCUAUCCCAUUUAAUGAGAGUUGAUUCUUUUGUACCAUCCAUUCAAGUUCCCAUAAAAUUGUACCAUAUUUAAUAUGAGGGUAUUUUAGGAAAAUAGCAAUCUAAAUUUACAUUUCCAACAAAAUUAACUACUUUUUCUUAAACUGUGUGAAAAAAUAAACAGGACUAUCAAAGUGGGACGGAGGGAGUAGUAAUAUAUGUAUAUAUAUAAUUACAAGUAAAAGUAAAAAGAAUGGUAGCGGUGCCAAGAAAGCACGCAAUUAAUUGAAAUUACACUCUUUUAAAUGCCUAAAAGUAGACGAAAAGUGCCUUUUCCUAGACAAGAUUACAAGCUUUUAAAGGGUUGAUGAUUGAUGAUGCAUCAAUAUUUAGUUUAGUAACUAUCAUUACAUUUAGAUAGUAUGAUUGACAAAUUAUCAUUCGAUCAUCACAACAAUCGAGUAGUAGCUAUUAUUAGUUACUAGUAAUAUUCAUCUUGGAAAUGCUAUCAAGAAACAUAUAUACUAUGUCAAAAUCCUGACGUAAUUCAUUUGAAUCGAGACAUGAAAAUGAAAUAAGUUCUCUAUUCUAUUGCUGCGAAUCCAGAAGUUUGAUGCCGCGCCUGUUAGACUCACGCGGUCGUUUAUUAGGCAAGAUUAGUUGACACGGUAGACUAAAGUUUUGAUUCUUCUGCCCUUCGACAAAUUGCCACAUUAUUUUCAGGGACCCUCCUCUGCUUUGUUGAAGAGGGGAGACCUCCAUCCUGAAAAUGAUAGUCUAAGGCAUUAUUAAUGCACAACAACAACCUUGCCAAAAUAAAUAAAUGAAAAAGUACCAUUUUGGAUUUUUAUUUUUUCAAAAAAAUUUUACCUUUUUUCUAUGAACAUAUGUUUUAUUCAUAUUUUUACCUUGCGUACAUCAAAUUGGUGCAAUACAUUUUUUUUUAUAUAAAAACUCCAGAAAAUAGCAAUUCAACUGGAUUCAACGGAAGAAACAAACAAGAAAUUGUCGGUACUCGCACAUAAUUAGCUAUUUUUGUAAAUUCCCAAAUAAAUUUUUAUUAAAAUUCUAUGAGAGCCAAAAAAAAAAAAAAACAACAUUUGUAUAGUCAAGAGUCAACCCGAGCAUCCAUAGUUUUAGUAUGGCGUUGUGGGAGUGACCCCGGCUUCAGCAAGUCAAGUUUAAAACUAGACUUAGCUGGUCUUCCUCAUGCAUGUGCCUGUAGUACUACGCUUCCUUUACUCUGCUUCUCAAUUCAUCAAAGCUGUUCUUCUUUGACUACUCUGCAUUUCACACUAUCAAAUAAUCAAAUCAAACAUCAGUAAUAAAUGAUUUCACUAAACGGACGACAAAAUAAAGACCCAAUCGAAAAAUGCCAGAACUUUCACCCCCUCGCUAGCUUGUGACGACGCUUAAUAAAAAAAUUCAUUUUCAUGGCUGGCACUCCCAUUUCUUCCUACCUUCACAAAAGGGUGAACAACAGUCUCCUAAUGCUGACAUCUCGAAACAAAUAAUGGAUACCAACAGGAGAACUAGCAGAAAUUGAAGAUACAUAUCUAUAAAUAACGAUUAACAGCUCAGAUAAUAACAUCUACUGAAAAUAACACGUCCAAAAGCUAGGUGGGUACCUUUUAGCCUCAGCCAGAUAGAUACUCUGAUGGAUGAUCCAUUUCUACCUCGAAAUCAUGACACAGAACCAUCAUAAUGGCCUUCUACUUCUGAGUAUCAAAUAUCACUCUCGUGAGUAUCAAAUAUCACUCUUUUGAUAAUGGGCUUUAUCAACCAAUUUCAGUGCAGAAUAAAACAAAACAGAGACAGUAAAGCGGAAGGCAUCCAUCAACUCCUAAUCCACAUUGAGUUCAUGGCUAAUUGGCCACAGACUUGUACUUUUACAGCCCAGUGAUCACUCCACCACCAGUAGCUUGCACGCUUAUGCUAGAGCACUGUACAAUAAUAUCCCAAACAGUUUCGUCCCAUGUCUUAGAAUUGGCCAGCCAGGGCGGUGAAAGCAUAUCGAUCGUCAUCCAGAAAUGGUACUUGGAAAUAAAAUUAAGAACAAGUCUCGCAUAAAUUACAAGGAAAAGGAGAAAGAUACUCAUUAUUGGCGCAAUAAAAGACGCUUGCUAAUUAUAGAGAAACAGAGAAGUAACAAGAAGCUGCUAUACUACAGUCUCUGUGCAUCCGAAACCAUGGUCACUAGAAUAUUCAUAAGGAAAAUAAACUCAGACCAUAUUUUUCAUCCAACAUCUUUUCUACUGCUCGUGAAAAUAGAUCAGUGAAAACUUCUCAACUCACACUUGCACAUCUGUAACUUUUCCUAACGUCUUUCUUCGCUCUCCGUUUUCAGCUAAUUUCUGUUCCAUAAGAAACUUCUGCCGCUGCUCAAUAAUACCGUCGAUCAUCCGAUUGAAAUCUUCGUCGCUCAUAUUGUCCACCGUGUCAAAUGACGUCGCCUUUGGCCUUUCGGUCCUUCCUCGACCGACCUGAACCGUCUCCGACCGUCGGAGCUCUCCCUGCGGCUUCACCGCGAUCUCUCUCUUCGGCUUCUCCGACUGCAUCCUCUGAAACUUCUCAAUCCGUUUUGCCGCCGUCUCUAUGGCCGUCGUCACAGCGUCGCAUUGCUCCGCCUUCUCCUCCGUCCACAAUAUGAUCUGCUUCUCCUCCGCUUCGCCUCCAUCGCCGCCUCCUGCGCCUGCAAUCACGUCCAUAGUCUCCGGCGUAGCAGGAAUUUCUGGCGGAGGAAUGUUAACGCCUCCCGAGCCUGCAACUUUUUGCUGUGGAGCAUGAGCCUGGCUGUGACGGGCAUAUUCGUCGUAGAGAUCAUCGUCGCCGGAGUUCUCGCUACCGGCGCCGGUUCUUCGACAGAGGAAAAAGAGCGCGACGAUGAUGACGUUGCCGAUGAGAAAAACGACAUGCGGAUUAAACAGAUAGUCUGCAACUUCGAACAAAAUCCUCCCGGAGAUUUUCAGCGCUCCGGGAAGACGGGUGGAGGACCAGGAAAUCAACAGGAGCGCCACCAAAACUUCCAGAAACUGAAAAAGUUUCAUAGUCCUCCGGAAACGGUUAUACCUGGCCAUCGCCUUCGCCUUCUCAAAUUUCACGUUGUCGAACACUUGCUCUUGAGAAUCCAUUUUUAAAUCCUCCUCCAAACACGCUGAUUAAAUCUCGAGUGAGUGCGGGAAAUGAAGAGAGUUACUCGGUAAAUGGCAGUAGAAGUUGGAAAGAGUCGAGACUAUUUGUGAGGGGGCGGUGGAUUUAAGAAAGGAAGGAGAGAAUUUGGAAAAGAGAAAUGAUCAGCGGGAGUUAAUUUGGAAAAGGGGAGAAGGGAGAAAGGAAAAGGGAAGAGAGUAGAAGCAAUAUAUGCAGAAGUGCAUAUAACUAUAGAAACAGAUACUAUCAUAUGCAUAGAAACACAGAGGAGAGGAAAACACACACACUCACACGCGCGCGCACACUAGGAGAAAGAGGGAUAGGCAAUUUGUUGGUGUAAAUGAGAGGGUAUGGUAGGUUUUGGAUGCUCGAAUGAAUUUUGUGUUUGGUUAUGGAGGAAAUGCUCUGAUGAUGGAAGGAAAGUUUACAGAGCAAGGCAUGGUUUUAUAGGCGCGGAGCAGGGAAGAGAAUCGUCGGGGUCCAUGGGGUAAGUGGAGCCAAGAGAAACUUGUUUUUUGUAUUUCUUUUUCUUAUUAUUUUUUUCUCUUAUGGUUGUUUUUGAAUAGGUCUACACUUGCUACUAUUAUGGUUUAUGACUUUCUCGCUCUUUCUUUUCUUCUCUCAUGCUAUGAUUUACGAAUUGUGACUCCUUUCCAUUUUCUUCACAUAUGAUAUGAUAUGGUUGUCAUCUUGGCUCUUUUUUAGAGCAACAAGGAGGCUUGGCUUACAAUUCACUAGUUACUUUUCCGGGACAUGAACAAUAAUCGUAUGCUACUAAUCAUUUCUAAUUACACGGGACGAUGAAGAGGGUCAAUUAACAAUUAUAUGCACGAGUGUGUUUGGACAGUGAAUUAUUUAAUACUUUUUACGAUAUGAUACACAUAUUUGCCCGUAAUCCUGUUUUUUCAUGCGGAUAAAAGCUUUAUAUUUACUCAUUAUUGAUUGCUCGUGACCCUGUUUCAUGCGAAUAAAGUCUUAGGGCAUGUUUGGAUUGCAUUUUCCGUCAUUUUUCAUGGAAAAAUUACUGUAGCGAUUUGAUCUAUGUGAGAGAAAAAGGUGAUAGGGAAAUAUGAUCACGAAAAACGACAAUAUUUUCCGACGAAAACAAGCAAUCCAAACACACCCUUACAUUUACUCAUUAUUGGUGCAAAUCAAAACUUAGAACACCCUGCUAUGCUAUCGAGCAUUUUUUUUCUCUCCAAUUCAAUGAUUCAUUGUCACUUGAGCAAUGUUUUGAGAGAGGCUGAUGUUUCUAUUUGAAAAGUUCUUUAGUUAGGGAACGAAUUAGAGAGAAAAAGUUUUUUUUUUUUUUUUUAAAAAAAAAGGGAAAAAGGACGGUGGUGGUUUUUGCUAAUAAAACAGGGUGGUUGUGCGGUGGGAGGAAGUGUGAAGUGACAUUUUUUUUGUUUGUAACAUAACCGCGUGUGAGCCAAACCGGGGCAGAGUGUAAAGCCGCGAGACCAAGACCACGCCCACGCGUGGAAUAGUAGUCUAGUACCGUACCUAAGUUAGUUUUUGGGUACAGCUUUGCUUUGUCAGUUUGUCCAAGGACGGGAUGUUCUUCCUACAACCUCUAGGCUUUUUCGCUUUUAAAUUAUGCUGUUGGGUUUGUUAUGUUUCUCAGAGCUCAGAAACCGGGAAAAGAAUCAGGACAAAGAUUAUUUAGAUUUUUCUUCUUUUGCCUUUUGGGGAAAUUUUUCUUCCUUCUUUCCACAUUUGGUGCUUGAAUUACUAAAUUCUUAUGCCCCUAGUGUACAGUAAUCAGUAUUGGUUGUCUGGCCUGGCGUGCAAUAAUGGGUUUGAAGAUGUUGAUGAACAGAGGACUUGGUAUGCGGUGCGAUGCUUGUAUACCUACUACUGUAAUCUUGUGAGUCCCAUGCAAUGCCCAAAAACCAACAGUGCGUGAUCCCGAGCCACUACAACUACAAGAGAGGAUGCUUGUGCUGAGAACAACAACGAUGCAUCGGAUGAUAAAGCUGAAUUCUGAAAUCUGAAUUCAUUAAAGUAUUGAAUUAUUAAAUAUUAAAUUAAAUACAUAUGAGUGUAUCAAUUUUUUGAUAUCAAAUGCGUCUGAAUAUAUUAAAAUCUGAAUUCAUUAAUUUUAAGUGCUAAAUUGAGUUAUCAAACAGGAUUUAAAUUCUUCUCUUUAGUGUAAAAGAAAAAAAGAAGAUAAAGAAAAGUAGCGGAGUAGGAAAAGAUUGAAGUCAGGUUCAAAAAUCUCGUUACCUAUUGUGAUAGGUUCCUGUAAUUGGACAUGACAUAGACUCUCUAUCUUAGCAUAUAGUAGAAUUGAUCUAUGAAUAAUGGAUAUCACGGCUUGAGAUUAUGAUUAGGUGCAAAUUUUUUUUGUUGCCUUAAAAGACGUGCACAAUUAUAUGGUAUUCAACUUUGAGGGAUUGAAUUACUAGCUAGUAGUAGUAGUAGAAGUGGUUGGUGACUGAGCGAAACUUUCCUUGAAGGCACGGUCAUGUUCCAAUGAGCCUUCCAUCUUCAUAUGCUUGCCAGUUGCCAUCAGUAGUGUUUCUUUUUUUUCCGGACACUGAAAUAAACGCACACACAUAAUUAAUUAGAUUAAGCACGAGAGUCAAUCUAAGGGGAUCCACAGAGCAACCCGAUCCAGCCAAUUGGUGACAAGACGGACACCCCAUGAACCUUAAAUCCAAGAUGAAAACCCCACGAUCUUUCGAUGUGGGAUAGAAGCCCAAUCCCCCGUGCACACCCUCACCAAAUAUGGAAUUGUUUUUUCCGGACACUGAAAUAAACACACACUUAAUUAAACUAAGCACGAGAGUUAACAGAUAAAUCGACCCAAUAAACAAUCAGUCUAAAGGGGACCCAGCCAUCAGUAGUGUUUCGUACAAGUACGAAUUGAGUACUACUUCUACUACUACUAUUUUGCAUUUUCUGAAUUUCUACAUCUACUGCUACUACUUGUUUACUUAGCAACCAGAAACAAAUCUGCGACCAAUUCCUGUGGGAUGGUAGAGCUCACCAGCCAUCAAAAACCUGUCCAGCAACCAAAAAACAUUAGAUGCCAAAAAAUGCAGCAGGCAGGCUGGCUGAUUUGACCUGUCUAAGACCGAGAGGAGGGUCUGUAAUGGUUGAAAAAUUUUAAGUAAGUUAAAAUCGAUUGUUUCUUCACGUCCCACUGUCGACUCGACGGUGCCCAGCACCUCACCCUCCCCGACGGGGGCCGCCAGUCCACUUCCUUCCUCCUACCCUCUCAGCUAUUUCAAUCAUCAUGGCCAAAAAGACAAUAAUAUCAUUAGAAGCUCAUUGGCUAAUAAUCUGAUACCCUCUCAGCUAUUUCAAUCAUCAUAGCCACUUCCUUCCUUCCCCCUUUUUUUCACAUAUAUAUAUAUAUAUAUAUAUAUAUAUAUAUAUAUUUUUUACAGGGAGCGAAAAAUGUAGCUGAACGAAAUGUGGUAGAAUAUAUAUAUAUGUUUAGCAAACUCUUUAACUGCCAUACAAUUAAUUAUACACUCAAGUAAAAGAAUAUUUGUAAAGAAUUGGGGUCACAUUAAUUAAACAUAUCCGUUUAAGGAAAAUUAUAUAUAGUACUAAAAUCUCGGGUUUCUUGUCCGCUUUUUCUUCUUUCUUCCGCCAUUCAAAAUCAUUGCGGUGAAUAUGCUUUUGAAGCCAAAGAGAAAAAGUGAAACUUCACAAAUAAAAGGAGCAGUGAAACAAAAGAAAAGAUCACUCCGAUACAAAUUCUGGUCAUUGACGUGAAGAUGAAGAGUCCAAUUAUGUGUUGCAUCAUGCAUGGGAAAUUUAGGUGAAAAGAAAGCUAAAAGUAGCCUAACACUAAUGUACUUUGAGACCUUUCCUACAAGACAAGACAAGACAAAACAAACCCAUGAACUCGUGUGGAUCUGGAUCUUUGUUUGAAUUGUAAGUUUUUUGAGAUUAUUUGAAAGAUUUUUACUGUAGCACUUUUUGUGAUGUGAUGUAUGUGAGAUAAAAAGAUAAUUAAAAAGAUAAAAAGAUGUAUUAAAAAUUGUAAUGAUGAUGUAAGCAAAUAAAACUGGAUAAAUAAUGCACAAUCCAAACGACCUAAGGCCGACCAUGAUUUGAGAUCAUCGCACAUUCACUUCAAGUUGCAUUUGCCCUGAAAUUUGAAUACCCCCUUCAGCUUCAUGUCACGCGUUACCUAUCAUCCCUACCCGUUGCUACCUCCACCUUUCUCCAAUUCCCAUUCAUGACGUACAUGACCCAAAGAAGAAAAGAAUCAUUAUCUGGUCUGACAUGGAUUCUGGCAUUCAUUUUUUCCUUUUUUAACUUGGCCUUGCCCACUUCGCGUAGACAGCAUAACAAGAUUUAUUACUGAUUAACCUGUAAAGAUUCCAGCCUCCCUUGCAAGAAUUGGACAAAAAAAAAAAAAAUGGAAAAAAUUGGAUUGGGUGACGAGAUGAGAACGAUGGCAAGUGAAAAAUCAUAAAUUUAAGAUCUCGAACGACGAAAAUACUAUGUAUGUGACCGAACUUAGAGGCUAAUGAUUUACAUCAAGUAACAUACUUUCUUCUUCACGUGUAUGUGUCGAACUAAUUUACGAAGACCCCCCCUCUCCCCCUCCCCCCCCCAAAUAAAAAACAAACAAAAGAAAAAAAAACAACAAAAGGAAAAAAAAAAAACAACUGGAGAAGCUUUGAUGAGUCAAAACUUGACAAGUGCCUAUUCCAAAUUGUUCAUGGCCAAUAUCUAAUUUCUACGGAGGAAAAUGAUUGGAGGCACCCGUCAAACACGUCAUUUCUAUUGCAUGUCUUCAUGAAUUUAAAGAAAACCUCUUGUCACGAUUCCUAGUGCUCUUUUGCGUUCAUUCACGAGCUAUAUAUAUAUAUAUAUAUAUACCCUUUUUGGAUUAAUCAAAAUUACUUUUGUUUUAUCCAGCUACAUAGUUCUUUUUUCCCCCCGGUAAGACUUAUUGCCAUUUUCCGAUGAUAUUGAUUUUAUGUACAUUGGUACUGCUAUAAUAUAGUCAAUUUUUGUGUUUAUACAAAAGAAUCCUACAUUAAUCUUUUAGGGUUCUAUGGAAUAUCGUUUAAUGUGAUUUUAAACCUAAAGGUCUGUAUUCUCUUUUGCAUGCAAGAAUUGUUUUUUUGAUAAAAAAAAAAGAAGUCAAUAUUAUUAAUAAACUACAUGAAAAUCGUCCAACAUGAUUUUCUUAACAAAGUAAUCUAUAUUAAUGGCAGAAAAUAUAUUGACUAUGUCACAGACAUAUUUGAUCUGAAAAAUCAUUAGAAUUAAUAGAGUUACACAAUAUAAAAGAUUAUACUGUAAAUUACAAAUCAUCAAAUCUGACUAAUUGAACGAGUUGCUCCAUAGAUAUUUGUGCAUAUCUAUUCUCUCAGAUCUGCUAUCCAACUGAUUUAAGUUCAAAACUGACGUUGACAUCUGACGAGAAGACCAAAAAAUUCUAAAUCUAACAUAUAGAUCUAAAAAAACUCUUAGAUCUGAGAAAAAAUAACAAAAACUAAACAAAACUCUCACUAGGAUAACGUAGAAGAGAAGAAAACUCUCACUAAAAUACAUUAGGAGGGACUUUAUUAAAUAAAAAGCAAGAAUAAUAGGAUACGAAGGGAAACCUAAGUUUAAGGCCAACAUCUUGAUUUAAGGCCAAUGUCUCCCUCCCAUGGAAGAAGAACAGUAGAGAAAAGGUUGAGGGUAAAGAGGAAUGUAUGACAAGAAUUGUUUUAAUUGGCUGCCAUGUAUAUGUUUAUACGUAAAUUCAUUCUUGUUCAUUCAGGCAUGGAAAUGCAGGGGAUAGCUUUUACAAGCCCAAUUGGCAAUUUUCUUUGAUCACUGAAAAAGUAGAGAGACCAAUACCUAUAAAGAAACAAUGAAGCUAGCUAGAAUUAUAAGAGUUGGUUUUACUUUUCUUUUUCAUUCCGGGGAAAUCUGUGCUUGGUCUUUUCAUGGCAUAUAGGUCUUGCAGAAUUUAAUUUAACACAUUGCAUGUAUUGUAGCAUCCCAAACAGUUCAAUUCUGCAAUUCAUCCAAUGGUGACAUUAUCCGUUUAGAUUGCCCCCAAAAAAAAAGUCACUAAUUCUCAUCAAGAAUUGAGGAGACGUGGCACCACAAAAGAUUAUCGUUCUUCUCCUCAUGUCAUUAUAUUUGACUUACGUGUUUAAGGAAAAGAAAAAGAGAAUUUUAUCCAACUGGAAAAGAAAAAAUGAAAAGGUACUUCUGGAUGAGCGUUGCUGUGGAACCAUUAAUUAGCUUCUCCAAAUCCGUAGUUAAAAGCCUUUACAAAAGAUUAAGUAGAGCAGGAGUCAAGGCUUUCGGCUGUAAUGAUGAAACAGUGAUUGAAAUUAGGUAAAGGCGAUUUAAUUUAUCUGCCGAAGCUACGGAUUUGCUUGGAAAGAAUAACCCAAUAUAAAGGGGUCCCAUCCCAUCCAAUAAGAGGAUCAUAAUUCAUGACAAUAUAUCUCUGGGGUUUAUUUGAAGAAGGACAGUUUGAAGCAUGAUACCCAUCCAAGGCAAUCAUGAACCUUUCCAAGCCACCAUUUCUAAUCCCUUUUAGGGUUAAUCAUGCUUCUUUGAAUCAUUUUGCUUCCCACUGAACUGAUAUCAAGCGUUGUGGGUUACCCACUACAUAACCCUGCUCAUCCUUUGCUCUUAUUAAAUCAAUCACCAGUGUGCAAUAGAAGCAGAAAGUGAUAGCUAUAUAUGCAUGUCCUAAAAAAAAGGUAGUGUCAAUCACGAAUUGAAUCUCAAUUUAACCACUUUCCGUUACUUUUUGCCCAAGUUUUGUACAGGCAUGCCACUAGUCCUAGUUUAUUGAGGCAAGAAAUGUCACCAGUCCCAGUUUAUUGAGGCAAGAAAUUGCUAAUAAGGAAAGAUCUUUUUUAUCCUUAUUUUUCUGUGAAGAGGCUGAUAAGGGCAAUUAUUAUGGAUUUGGUUAACAAACAGAGAAUUAAUAUGUUUGUAGGGUUCUCUUUUGGUCGUUAAAUUAAACAUCUGAGUGGCUCCUUCCAAAAAAAAAAAAAAAACAUCUGAGUUUAGCAAGUGCUGACUGGAGAUGGAUAAAAUGCUCUUAUUGAUUCAGAACAUUUUUAACGAUGAAAAUUGUGGUGGCUAAGGCUUCCUUUCUUUGGUAGUAGUGGUUGAAUUGAAUUGAAUGGAAGGAACAGCUUUACCCCAAAAUUGCGGUGGCCUCAUAGUCAAUUCACUGCCAUGAAAAUCUACAGCACUAUCCAUGGUUCACAUCACCCAUUCGGUGCAUACAAUAAUGCAAGAAACUUUAGCGAAUGGAAUGAAAUUACCUCAAAUUUUGGACGAAAGUAACAUCAUCCAAAUUGCCUCUAGAAUAUAUAUACUAACUAUAAGAGAUGGACAGAUGUUUGCGUACUUAGUAGUACUGAAGGAGAUCGAGGGCCUCUCGCUUGACAGCUCAACAGGCAAAGUUUAACGCAGUUGGGAAAAAGCAACACCUUGGGUUAUCGGUUGGAGAUUUAACUGUCGGAUUGAUGCAACACAUACAACCAGCAAUAAACUAUAUAUUAAUCUGGUGCCAGCUUUUGACUUCUUUCUUCUUCUUUUUUUUUUACCUGCUCUGCUCUGAUCAAUAAGUUGCAUUUUUUUUUUUUUUUUUUUUGGUAAGAGGGCUGCCAAUGAAUUCUAGCAGCAAUUAGACACUUUUGCACGCAUGGAACCCAUUCUGGUCUAACUUUCUUCUUCAGCGAAUUGUAAAGUUUAACAUGAAAGAUGAAGAAAGAAAAGUCGGUGACCCAUCCAUCAUAUAAUUAAUACUCGAGUUAAGUUAAAGCAUAAGCAUCAUUCAUUUUCCACGGCAACUUUUAGAGAGAACACGUAAUUAAUUAACGUACGAGUUCAGAUGUUGCUUUGAUUUCACAGCAAUUUUUCCAGUAGUAAUGAUUUACAAUGCAUUUCUUCCAGUGAUUCGCGAGCAGUGAUACUACAAAAAUAAAUAUUUUCUCGAAAUUGUUUCAGCACCUUUAAUUAUGAAUUCUUAGAGAGUAAGAAACCACAGUAUCUGUAUGUCACAUUAUACCCAUGCCAAUAUUCUCUCCUUUUUUCGUUUGACGUGAAAGGCAGGCUACCAAGGCAGCAAUAAUAAAUAUUCCAUCCCACCGGAAGGUAAUAAUGCAGGACCAAACUUGUUCCUCAAAGCGCCACGAUCCCUAGCAGCCUGCACAAAACUCUUUUUGAUUUGAUGUUUUAGAUUCCCCCUUCGGUCCCAAUCAAAUCAAAUGAACCUCUUUUUGUUACGCUUCCUCUUUACAAAUUACGACGGCCCAAAAAUCAAACUUACUUUAACGUGGAAAGCAGGUGCGGGCAUGACUUUGGAUAAAUGGUUGCCAGAAAAGGCCAAAAAACGAGAACCAACCCGUUCAAUACGGCAGUCCGAAGCCGAUUAUGCCUGGAGAACCAUUACUGUUAAACAACGCUAUGCUAUGGUAUGCUAGUGGCAAGUUUUAAGGGAAAACUGCUUAACAAACCAUCAUAGCUGCUGCGCGCGUGGGAAAUUUAACGUCUUUAAUUCUUGGCAGGCGGCUAUAAUAUAAGGAGGGUAAUCACGAGAUGGCAAACGUAGUGGUACCAGACAAUCCGACUUCAAGAGGAUAAACAAAAAUGGCAGGGACGAGAGGAAGAAACCUCGAGCUAUGGAGUAAGCAUAAAGAGUCUUUUGAUUCAGCAGACCCAUGAAUUUUUCCUCGCUAUCGGUUCAUGGAACUGCGCUAUGACAUUGACGCUUCCCGUUUUGGUAAAUUUACUUGAACGCUACAGCUGAUUGUACUAAUCCAAGAUUUAUGAAGCUCAUCCACUAGCUUUGAGGCACAGGAUGUCAGUAACCAGUCGAAAAGAAUACAAAUGACCAUGGAACUCAAGAAUUCCAAAU